rnacentral:lncRNA from 1 species
CUGCAAGCACUCUUAAGCACCAAGCCAUCUCUUCAGCCUCACAUAUAUUUAAACUCUUUAGACAAGCAUUAAAAAAAAAAUAAAAUCCACAAAUGAUUCUACUGUAUAGCGCAAGAACAAUAGAAUAAUAUGUUUUAAAACCCUCGGCUAUAUAUUAGCGUAAGUGGGACUCACUUUUGAUUUUACAGGCUGGGAUUUCAUUAAUAUACAGAGGUCUGAUUGUUUUAAUCCAAUAUGAGGCUUUUCUUUCUUACUUUUUAAGCAGCACCAUAAGGCUUUGUUUCCUUUGCAUAUGCUCUUAAACCUAACUCCAGAUUUCAUAGAUGCAACUUCAUAACCACUCAGCUUACAUUUAUAAUCUAGAACAGUGUCACAGAAUACAGUAUUUCUACUGCUGCCUGGCUUAGAGGACUUAAAACUCAAAAAGAUACACGUUUGUGCGUUCAAGCUUUACUCCUCUUGCUAAAACAUGCAAUCCUCUUCUCUCCUAAGGGACAAGCAUUCCUUAUUAUGCAAACUUAGAAUUUUUGAAUGUUUCAUUUUACCUCUUGAACAAGCAGGCACUUUUGGAACUUUUAGGCUAUUAGGAUGGGGAGGCUAAGUCUACUUUACAUCUAGAGAAACUUGGAUUCUGCUGACAGUUUACUCCAGGAGAAGACGCUGUGGGAACCAUCUUCAGUGUUGAGAGAAGUGAAAGGAAGUGAAACCCGGCCUGUCCUUCCUCUUCUGGAAUCAAGGAGGAAAGAAACUCAGCUCUCCACUGGGAUUAAGCUUCUCCGGGAUCCUGCAGGUAGGCCAGAAGUAGGACAGCCUCAGAGCAGGCUGUCAGAUCAUUCUUCACAGGAGGGUUUAGCCAGAAAGUUUAGGAAAACAUCAGUCAACAAAUAAUGGGAUUUUCAACUUACUUAAAUGAGUAGGAGACAGUCCAAUGAUCAAAGAUUAUUCUAAAAAAAGGGAGCACAAGAGGGGAGGACCAAAUAUUCUUGGUCUGAUUACUGUUUGAGAGGUGAAGAAGUGUAAUUGGAGCAUCUCUGUGUGUAAUGAUACUGUCUUUGGGCCUGGUGGCUGUAGUUUGUCACUCUUUGGCUACUGUGGUUUUAAGGAUAUGCGCCUGUCCUUCUCCACAGUGGGGUGUGUUCUGAAUGUCCUGUUAUCACCUUUGCAUUGCAGGCUUAGUUGUUUCUGAAAGCCACAUACCAGCAGCAAGCAAGUCCUGGGAUGAUGGUGAACUCCAGAUCUUCGUCCCCUGAUUCUCGAAUGCUGGAAUUACAGCCUGGCAUCAUGGUGCCCUGCAUGGAUGGCAUUCCUGUCACUGACCUUUGAGAGUUCUUUAUAUAUCCUCCAGUGCAUCUCGGUCAUCAGAUACAUGCUUUGUAAACACCUCUUCUAGAGGGCCCAAUUCAUCAAGUUAUUUGAGAGUCAGUUAAUCUAUGUUAGAAAGGUUUUUCUUCUUUUUUUUCUGUUUUCAGCAAGAAUGUGAAAAUUUCCAUGAGUAGGUGAUACUAUGAACUUUAUAAUUUCUCUCUGCUCCACACUGUGUGUGUGUGUGCAUGUGCUUGCGCUCAUGUUCGAGGUGGGAGGAAAGCUUGGAAUUGGCACAGAACACACCCAGACAUCAAAUUCUCAACACAAAGGAACUUUAUUACAAUGGGGUGGGAAGCAGCUGCCCCUGAAACAGGUUAAGAUACUAGCAGGUAUUUCUGCCAGAGUGGUUUUAAGUAGAAAAAGGGGAGCGUGUGCUAGGAUGAUGUCCUGAUUGGACAUGUUAGCCAGUGUUAAGCCAAAUAAUGAAUUUUGAUUGCUGGACCUUGGUAUUUAGUCUCAGGAAUAGAUCAGUAGCCAAAUAAAGGAAUAGACGUUGGGGGCUAGCUUUAGGAAUGUAAUCUAAUGGUUUAGCAAGGGAGAGGGAGGGAGAGGGAAAAGGCAAAACCUACUAGCACCACCGUUUGCCAUGCUUGGGCCUGUUAGAGAGCCCUUCACUUAGAGUCAGCACGUCAUUAUAAUUGUAAAAUACAGAGUUGUAUCUCCCUGGGAAGCUAGCUGUCCUGUCCUCUUUCCGGGGGAGCUCAUCUUUAUUUUCCAAGUGUGGGCGAAAUCACAUGUUCAUGAGCUCAGGUUCCAUUUCUGCCCGGAUGCCUUUCUUUGGAUUUCAGAGUAUAUUAGGUACGAGGAUACCUCAGCUCAUAUAUGGUUCAAGAAAUUAAUUAUGCAUCACUCAAUAAUCUGCACUCCUUAAGUUAGGGGGCACUCCAGGUUUCAACACAGCGCUGUGUGUACGUGCAGUGGAUAACGAAAAUUAUCGCAGUUUCAAGGUCAGUCGGCCAGGUCAUUUUGUUGGAUUUGCAGGCACCUUAGCCCGAAGAAAACGGACAUGGAGGGGGAGGUGAUGAGCGAGACACCCCGAAAUAGCCCAAGUGCCUUGAGGAGGACGGAAUAGCUACGUUUAACGACGCUACGCAUAAACUACUCUCGUGGUGGAAUCUGUGGGUUAGUGAUGGUUCUCCACGAGAAAGACGAGGAAAUCCAAGGUGCUCUCUUUUCACGCCGUCUAUCUCAAUUGAGCUUGGAGUAGACGCAGUCUGGGCGCGGUGUAACGUCAUUCUUUUAAUUCCAGCACGGCUUGAAACUCAAACUAUCCGAUCUGAGUAAGAUAUAGAGAAUAGGGUGAGGAUCUCAAUUUACUUUUAAUUUAAUUUAAUCUGUGUUCCUUCCGGGUUUCGCCUUGACGACCCCUUCCCUUCUCCAUGUCUCAAACCUCGCGUCCUGGAAAACUUAAGAAUGUAGGUCCACCUGCUCAAACACUGUCCCAAAGCUGCACUUCCCGGCCUUCCUCUACUCUCUAACUCUAAAUUUUAUCUGGAUUUUUGUUUAGUAUCGGUUUCAAAUAUGUAAGUUUCUCAGCCCGCUUUCUCGAGUCAGUCUCUGUCCCUACUCUCACCACUCCCGGAAGUGCUCAGAGACAGAAGUAUAGCCAACUGUGGAGCCCGGCUCCGGGCGGGGACGGGUGGUUGCGGAUGAGCCAAUAAAAUAUUGAUCAAUUUU